GGGAGUUUAGCUCAGCUGGUUUAGAGCAUCUGCCUUACAAGCAGAGGGUCGGCGGUUCAAAUCCGUCAACUCCCA
rnacentral:tRNA from 1 species